AUUGAACGCUGGCGGCAGGCCUAACACAUGCAAGUCGAGCGGAGCGGCGGACGGGUGAGUAAUGCCUAGGAAUCUGCCUGGUAGUGGGGGAUAACGUACGGAAACGGGCGAUAAUACCGCAUACUAUCAGGUGAGCCUAGGUCGGAUUAGCUAGUUGGUGGGGUAAAGGCCUACCAAGGCGACGAUCCGUAACGUGUCGGAGAGGAUGAUCAGGCACACUGGAACUGAGACACGGUCCAGACACCUACGGGAGGCAGAAGUGGGGACUAGUGGAAAAAGGGCGAAGGCCUGUUCCAGCCAGGCCGCGUGUGUGAAGAAGGCCUUCGGAUUGUAAAGCACUUUAAGUUGGGAGGCGUUACCAACAGAAUAAGCACCGGCUAACUCCGUGCCAGCAGCCGCGGUAAUUC
rnacentral:rRNA from 1 species